rnacentral:hammerhead_ribozyme from 1 species
CUUCUGUUGAAGAGUCCCAAACUGGGACGAAACACUUGUCCAGUAC